GGGGGGGGGGGGGGGGGGGGGGGGGGGGGGGGGGGGGGGGGGGGGGGGGGGGGGGGGGGGGGGGGGGGGGGGGGGGGACCCACCCCCGGCCCCGCCCACCUCGUCAGCCAUGAGGAAAAGUUUCUCCUCGUAGGCGAACUUGAUGACGGCCUCGAUGCACUCGCGGCUCUGCACCUGGCCUGGGGACACCCAGAGGGGACAUGGGGACACUGCUACUGGGGGGGGCCCAGUCCAGUCUCGGGGUCCCAGUCCAGUUUCGGGGUCCAAGACAUGAGUUCCCAGUCCUUUCUUAGUUUUCCAGUCCAGCCCAGAGUUCCCAGUUCAGCCCUGAGGUCUCAGUCCAGUUUUGGGGUCCCAAUCCAGUUUUGGGGUCCAAGUCCAAUCUUGAGGUGUCACUCAAGUCCUGGGGUCCCAGUCCAGCCCAGGAGUCCCAGUCCAGUUUUGGAGUCUCAGUCCAGUCUUGGGGUCCCAGUCCUCAAGUCCUGGGAUCCCAUUCCAGCCCAGGAACCCAAUCCAGUUUUGGGGUCCCACUCCAGCCCCAGGAACCAAAUCCAGUUUUGGGGUCCCAGUCCAGUCUUCGGGUCCCCAUCCCAACCCAGAAUCCCACUUCAGGUCUUCUCCCAUGGAUUCUAUCCCACUCCAGGUGUCCCAUCCCAUGGAUCCCACAACAUCCCAUGGGUCCCAUGCCAUGGAUCCCAUCCCACGAAUCCCAUUUUAAGGAUCUCAUCCCAUCCUAUCCCAUGGAUCCCAUCCCAUCCCACGGAUCAAAUCCCAUCCCAUGGAUCCCUUCCCAUGGAUUCCAUCCCAUAUAUCCCAUUCCAUGAAUCCCCAUCCCACGGAUCCCAUCCCAUGGACCCCAUUUUAAGGAUCCCAUCCCAUCCCAUGGAUCCCAUCAAUCCCAUGGAUCCCAUUUUAAGGAUCCCAUCCCAUCCCAUGGAUGCCCUCGGCCACCGCCCGGCGCAGCUCGGCCACGUCCAGCGCCCAGCAGCGCUCCUCGGCCAGGUAAUAAUUGACCUGCACGGCCUCCAGCUCGGCCAGCGCCGCCGAGUACAGCGGGUACUGCGGGAUGGGGAUCAGCACCCCCGUGCGCGACACGCCCGAGCCCGCCACCAGCAGCUUCAGCACGUUCUGGGGACGGAGUGGGGACAGCGAGGGGACAACGAGGGGACAGGAUGGGAUGGGGAUCGGGAUCAGCGCCCCCCUGUGCGACACGCCCGCGCCCGCCACCAGCAGCUUCAGGAUGCUCUGGGGACAGAGCAGGGUGUCAGGACAGAGAGGGGGCAGUGAGGGGACAGGUUGGGUGGGAAUCGGAACAUUGAGGGGACCAUCAGGGGACAGCGUAGGGACAGUGAGAGGACAGCUUGAGCAGCUUCAGCACGUUCUGGGGACAGAGGGGGACGGUGAGGGGACAGCGAGGGGACAGGAUGGGAUGGGGAUCGGGAUCAGCGCCCCCCUGUGCGACACGCCCGCGCCCGCCACCAGCAGCUUCAGGAUGCUCUGGGGACAGAGCAGGGUGUCAGGACAGUGAGGGGGCAGUGAGGGGACAGGUUGGGUGGGAAUCGGAACAUUGAGGGGACAAUCAGGGGACAGCGUAGGGACAGUGAGAGGACAGCUUGGGAUGGGGAUUGGGACACUGAGGGGACAAUCAGGAUGGGGAGGGGUGGGAAUGGGGAGAUUGUGGGGACGUCGUGGGGACAGGGAGGGGAUCAGUCAUUGGGGACGGUGAGGGGACAGUGAGGGGACAGUGAGGGGACAGGAUGGGAUGGGGAUCGGGAUCAGGCUGAGCCCACGACCAGCAGCUUCAGGAUGUUCUGGGGGACAGAGGGGGACAGUCAGGGGAAAGAGUGGGGACAGUGAGGGGACAGCCUGGGGUGGGGAUCGGGACAUCGAGGGGACAGUGAGGGCACGGGGAGACGUGGGGAUUGGGAGAUUGUGGGGACGUCGUGGGGACAUGGUGGGGACAUCGUGGGGACAUGGGGUUGAUGAGGGGACAGGUUGGGGUGGGGAUCAGGACAUUGUGGGGACAGUGAGGGGACAGGAUAGGCUGGACAUCAGGAGAUUGUGAGGACUAUCAUGGGGACAGUGAGGGGACAGCGUGGGAUGGGAAUCAGUGACACCAUGGGGACAGUGUGCGGUGGGAAUCAGGACACUGAGGGGACAGUGAGGGGACAAGUUGCUGCGGACAUCAGGACAUCAGGGACAUCAUGGGGAUGAUGAGGGGACAGAUUAGGGUGGGAAUUGGGACAUGGAGGGGACAAUCGAGGACAGAUGGCGUGGGGAUCAGGACAUCGUAGGGACAGUGAGGGGACAGGAUGGGGUGGACAUCAGGACAUCAUGGGGACAUCAUGGGGACAUGGGGAUGAUGAGGGGACAGGUUGGGUGGGAAUCAGGAGAUCGUGGGGACAAUCAGGGGACAGCGAGGGGUGGGAAUGGGGAGAUUGUGGGGACAUCGUGGGGACAUUGUGGGGACAGAGAGAGGGGACAGCGAGGGGACAUCGUGUGGGUGGGAAUGGGGACAGGAUGGGCACAAGGAGGGGACGGGAUUCUGGGGGCACAGGGACAUCUUGGGGACUCUUUGUGGACAUGGGGACAUCAGAGGGACAUGGCUGGGGUGGGAAUGAGGACACCAUGGGGACAUCAGGGGACAUCACGGGGACAGCUGGGGACAGGGGACAGGGAGAACAACGCAGGCACAGCAACUUGGGGACAGCCCGGGGACAGCCAGACGGUGACGUGCGGACACGGGGACAAGGAGGGGACAAGGAGGGGACAACCCAGCGCCACCAUCACCACGGCAACCCCUCGGCCUUGGUGACAACGAGGGAGCUGGCACUGUCCCCAAGGAGGGAGCUGGCACUGUCCCCGAACCGGAGCUGGCACUGUCCCCAAGGAGGGAGCUGGCACUGUCCCCAGCGAGCCGUGGGGACACCAAGGACACGCCACCUCCCCCGGGGACCGGCGCCAGCAGCGCCACAAAGGUCCCUUUGUCACCGAGCACCGUGGGAACGGCCGGGGGGUGGCACCGCGCCCGGGAUGGGGGUAGUGUCACCGACGCCACCCGGUGUCACCGACGCCACCCGGUGUCGCCGUACCACGAUGGCGUCGCUGGCGCCCGUGGACAGGAAGAUGUCUUCGGAGCGGGCGGGGAUGCCGCCGUCGCGGCGCUCGAUGUAGCGCGCCACGUUCUCCCGCACCAUCUGUAUCCCGGGGCUGGCGCUGUAGGACCCUGAGGGGACAGCCGGGUGUCACCUCCAGGCCGGUGUCACCUCCCCCGGGUGUCCCCAGAGGUGACACCCACCCACGCUCUGGCCGCCGCACGCCUCCAGCCGGCGCUGCGCUCGCUCCACCCACGCUCUGGCCGCCGCACGCCUCCAGCAGGCGCUGCGCUCGCUCCUUGGCGUCGCUGGGGAGGGACGCGUCCUUCAUGAGCUCCGGGCAGAGGCAGAGCGCGGUCACCUGCGGGGACAGGGGGGGUGACAGGGGGUGACAGCGAGGGGACAGCCGGGGGACAGCCGGGGGUGGCCGUACCUGGCGCAGGAAGGUGAUGGGCUGCUGGCCCAUGGCGUGCGCGUCACCGAUGUUGGCCUUGAUCACCUCGGUGAAGGGUUUGGGGACACCCUGAGGGACAGAGGGGACAGCGGUGGGGACAGGGACGGGCACGGGGACAGAGGAUUGGGACAAGGACAGAGAUGGGGACGGGGACGGGGACAGCGGGGACAGGGACAGGGGACAGGGAUAGGAAUGGGGACAGGAUCAGGAAUGAGGGGGGGACAGGGACAAGGGACAGAGUUGGGGACAGGGGACAGGGACAGGGACAGGGAGUGGGGACAUGGGUGGGGACAAGGACAAGGACAGGGAAAGAAAGGACAGGGAGAGUGACAAGGCACAGGGAUGGGGACAAAGGACAACAACGGGGACAGGGACAGGGAUGGGGACAAGAAAUGGGGACAAGAGAUGGGGACAGGAAUAGGGACAAGGACAGGGAAAGCAGAGACGGGGUAGGGACAAGGGACAGAUUUGGGGACAGGGACAGGGACAGGGACAGGGACAGGGACGAGGACAGCAGUGGGGACAAGGGAUGGGGACAGGGACAGGGACAGGGAUGGGGACAAAUGACAAGAAUGGGGACAGGGGCAGGAAUAGGGACAAGGACAGGGAAAGCAGGGACAGGAACAAGGUAUGGGGACAAGGACAAGGGGACAGGGACACGGGGACAGCAAUAGGGGACAGGGUCAGGAAUGGGCAGGGAGGGACAGGGAUAAGAGACAAGUGACAAGAACGGGGACAGGGACAAGAGCGGGGACAAGGGGACAGGAAUGGGAACAGGACAAGGGGACAGGAAUGGGGACAGGACAGGGAUAAGGGACAGCAAGGACAGGGAUGGGGACAAAGGGACAGAGACAGGGACAGGGAACAGGAAUGGGGACAGGACAAGGGGACAGGAAUGGGGACAGGACAGGGAUAAGGGACAGCAAGGACAGGGAUGGGGACAAAGGGACAGAGACAGGGACAAGGGAUGGGGACAAUGACAGCGACAAUGGCACAGUGACAGCGACAGUGAGAGUGACACAGUGACAGUGACAGUGACAGUGACAGUGACAAUGACACAGUGACACAGCGACAGUGACAGUGACAGUGACACAGUGACAGUGACAGCGACAGCAACAGUGACAGUGACAGCGACAGCAACAGUGACAAUGACACAGUGACACAGUGACACAGUGACAGGGGGGGGGGGGGGGGGGGGGGGGGGGGGGGGGGGGGGGGGGGGGGGGGGGGGGGGGGGGGGGGGGGGGGGGGGGGGGGGGGGGGGGGGGGGGGGGGGGGGGGGGGGGGGGGGGGGGGGGGGGGGGGGGGGGGGGGGGGGGGGGGAGUGACAGUGACACAAUCACAGUGACAGUGACAGGGACACAGUGACAGUGACAGUGACACAGUGACACAGUGACAGUGACAGCGACAGUGACAGUGACAACGACACAGUAACAGUGACAGCGACAGUGUGAGUGACAGUGACAGCGACAGUGACACAGUGACAGUGACGCAGUAACAGUGACAGUGACACAGUAACAGUGACACAGUGACAGCGACAGCAACAGUGACAAUGACACAGUGACAGUGACACAGUGACACAAUGACAGUGACAGCGACAGCGACAGUGACAGUGACACAGUGACACAGUGACAGGGACACAGUGACAGUGACACAAUGACAGUGACACAGUGACAGUGACAGUGACAAUCAGGGUUCCCGACCCUCCUGUCCCCACCCAGGGCCACCCCCGAGUGUCCCCUGAGUGCCACCAUCCGAGUGACGUCACCCCCGUGUCCCUUCCCUGGGGACAUCGACAACACCUUGGGGACACUUUGGGGACACUUUGGGGACACUUUGGGGACACUUCGGGGCCAGCCUGGCGCGGUGACAGCGCUGUCCCCACCCCCACAGCGCCACCUCCCCCCGGACUUUGGCCACCUCGGGCGGACUUUGGCCACCGCGGGCGGCGCCGCCCCCGGGGGGGGGGGGGGGGGGGGGGGGGGGGGGGGGGGGGGGGGGGGGGGGGGGGGGGGGGGGGGGGGGGGGGGGGGGGGGGGGGGGGGGGGG
rnacentral:lncRNA from 1 species